GUGUUAAUGGCUGAGCAGCCAGCUUGACCAAACCUUCCCCAGGAGGCUACUGUGUUCAGGACUGACAAGACACCUGAGACAGGACACCAGAAACUUGGACAGAGGAAAAACCUAAAACCACCUAGAGCUGCAGCAUCUACAUUGGAGGAGACCUGCGAAUGAAUAAUGCUGACCAUGAAAUUAUCAUGCCAUUUUUGAAGGUCAUGUUUGUGUUUAAUGCAGGUGUUAGUCUUGGCCUUCAGGAAAGGAGGUCUUGGCCAAAAAUCCUGAGGAGAUAGAGCUGCUUCUGUGCAGUUGUGGAUGAGGAGCCUCCAAGAGAGGAGAGAGUGCAGUCGUGUCCCUGUGUGCAGCAUCUUCCACUGGCUUGGCCUGAAGUCACUUUCUCCUCUGUGUGUGUGUGUUUUUGGGGAAUUCUUUCCAUUCCCUCUCUGAAGUGUCCUGAUCUCCUGCUGUCUGUUGGAGGAGCAGCGAGUGACACACAUUCCCUGGGGAGAUAUUUCCACUUUUUUAUGAUUCUUCAGGCUUCUGUGACAUUUCCCAAGUCCAGUUGUUGGAGCCUUAGGUUCAAGCCUCUACACCACCCUGGACAAUAUCCCAGCAGAGGUAAUUUGGCCCUUCAACCUUCAGCAGUGAAUACAUUGACUUCAUGGUGUGCACAGUGUGGGAGUGGGAUUCUUGCGCAAAACCCUAAAACCCACGGUGGAAACCUGUCAUUGAGUGCUCAGUGACACCACAUUCAGCAUUUUUCA
rnacentral:lncRNA from 1 species